UGCCAGACUCCUACGGGAGGCAGCAGUGGGGAAUAUUGCACAAUGGGGGAAACCCUGAUGCGGCGACGCCGCGUGAGCGAAGAAGUACCUCGGUAUGUAAAGCUCUAUCAGCAGGGAAGAAGAUGACGGUACCUGACCAAGAAGCUCCGGCUAAAUACGUGCCAGCAGCCGCGGUAAUACGUAGGUGGCAAGCGUUGUCCGGAUUUACUGGGUGUAAAGGGCGUGCAGCCGGGCUGACAAGUCAGAUGUGAAAUCCCGCGGCUCAACCGCGGAACUGCAUUUGAAACUGUCAGUCUUGAGUACCGGAGAGGUCAUCGGAAUUCCUUGUGUAGCGGUGAAAUGCGUAGAUAUAAGGAAGAACACCAGUGGCGAAGGCGGAUGACUGGACGGCAACUGACGGUGAGGCGCGAAAGCGUGGGGAGCAAACAGGAUUAGAUACCCGGGUAC
rnacentral:rRNA from 1 species